CACUGUCAGUGUCAAACAGUGCCAGCCCAGCACUGACUUCUGAGGUCACCCCCUGCCACUGCCACCCACUCGGACAUCCAGCCACUGACUGCAACCCUGAGUGGGACCAGCCAGCCAGCAAGACAUGUCUCAUUUUAAAGACCUAUUAUACUCACAAAAUUGGGACUUAUCAAUGCAAAGUAAAUCCAAAGCAAUUUGGCAACUUUGUGGUUUGCUAUAAAGAGGCCAUUCGGUGAAUAAGCAACUAUUUCAAGGGUAGCACUUGGAAAUGUGCCAGAGCAACAGAUUUAUUGAUUUAGAACAAUAAAAAGGCCAUAUUUAGAUAAUGGAUAGAUCCAAUGCACUCUAAAAUCAUAAAAAGUGUUCUGCUUGGCUUCAGUGGGUUCUGCUUAAGGACAUAGUUAAAAAUAAUACAAGGUUAUUCAUUGCAGGACCACGUAAGACCAAGAAGUUAAACACAACCACUGCCUUUUAAAGGACAGAUGUGGUAUGGCUAAUGUUGACUUUUCUACUCUGCAUGGUUAGUGAGGGAUUAGUAUAAUCUGCCAUUCAUUUUGAUACUGAAAUUAGAAAGAUUAUAGGAGGUCAUUUUGUCCUGAAGUCACAUAACAGAUGUGGAAGAAAAAUCUCUUCAAAGAUGCCCUGGCAUUUCACCCAUCCUUAACACUUAAAGAGAGGCACCUUUUCUAUAGAAUGGGAAAGGAAAUAGAUUCUAUUUUACCAGAAAAUAGGAAGGAUUACUGAAGAACUCGUGUUAGUCUUUGCCAGAAUUGUUAUAAGAUAUUGCUAAUAUUGACUUUCAAGAUCUCCGACACCUGAAAACUUGCAAUCAGACAGAAGUCUGGUCGCAGAACAUAGUGCCACCUAACUAAUUCACAAUUUAUGUUAUGGGAACUACAGUGGAAAAAAAUUAUUUAGGUUUUAAGGGGAAGAUAUGUGGGUGGUGCCCACACAGUGCCACUCACAGUCUGCAUGCACACACAAGAACAUGUAACAUUAAAUUCUUUACAAUACAAAAAAAUCUUAAGUUUCGGUGUUCUUAAGUUUAUUAUCCAACUACUAAUUGUACUUUUUCUGAAAUAAAAUUGAGUCAAUGGGAAUCAUUAACUUUUUUAUCUCUUUAAUGAGGUGCUCCACAGUAUAAUUUUAUAUUGUGCUUCAGAAUACUUCAAUUAAACUUCUUGCAUGAUGACAACUUCUGAAGACAUUUAAUAAUUCCACAACAGCCAGCUUUACUGACAGCACCUCAAGGAAAAGUCACACAGAUCUGUUUUCAUUGAUGCCUUACAGUCAGAAAAGUCUGAGCAUCAAAAUGAAAGGAAUUAAAUAUUACUAUUUUUGAACAAAAUAAUUUCAAAGAUUAAAAAUUAGAUGUCACCUUGGACUAUUACAGUAAUUUAUAUUUUUCUCCAUUUUCUCUUUAAAAGCUGCAUGUUAUUCUAUUAGAUUUAUUGAUAUUCAAUCAAUCUUGUAAUAAUUUGAGUGCAUCUGGUUUUUCUGUUUUAUUUCUACCCUAGAGCUUGAGUCAUAGAGAAUUUCUCAGAAAUCAUAAAUAUGCAUUUUUAAGUUAGUACAGGACUCAGACCUCAAGGACAUAGAAAAGAUAGUUUGUUUUGCAAGUUUCCUUCCACUCUGUCACCAGAAGUAAAAACAGCAGCAUUUUGCUUCUUGAGGUAAAUAAGGUCUUGCUGCUGACACAAAACAUUGAUAAAAUGGAGACAGGAUAGAGAUGUAGAUCUGCAGGGAGAGCAAGCACAGCAGUGUAAAAGGACACUUGAGUUAUCUGUCAGAUGUGGUUCUAAAAUCUUCUCUGGUACAGUUUACUUUCUUAGCUAAGUGGCAUCCAUUACUUUAGCCAGAUUAUCCCAGCAUUGAUUAUCAGACAAGAACAGAACCAAGCCGCACACCAGAUGUGAGAGGGAUAAUUAUGCCAUAAUUAAAACUGUGUUAAUUGGGGGGAUUAUGGCAGCAUUCUCCUGCUGUGGUUGCUUUUUCUCUUAUUACCUGGGAAAGUUUGAUCACAAGGUCAAAGCAGGAAGGUUCCUAAUUACUUUUACCUUCCCAUCUGUGUUCUUUGAAAAUGACAAUAAUUUGGUAAUGUGGGAAGGUUUAACAUUCUAUUACUCUGUCCAGGAUCUGGAGACUGACAAAACUGGUGGCCAAAGUGGAAAAGAUAACCAUUGCUGUUAUCAGUGAGUUCUUUAGAUUUCAAAGCAAAGCCUAAAGCACAGAAUAUGCUGGCUUAAUGACAACAACAGUGGUUCCAACACACUCCAAAUGUGUGAAUGUACUGUCACUUUUGUAGCAGUCCUGAAUGCUGAAUUCUUUCCUUUUUCAGGGGAACAGAGCUGUUUCAUGUAUGCUUUUAGCUGAUCUCCACUAUUUUCACUACUGAAGCUCUCAACUUUCCCAAUCAAUAAAACUCAGAGCAAGACCUGAGCACCAAUUCUACUGUCACAUGAUGUUACAGAAGACUUUAAUCAGAGAUGCUUUGCCCACAGAUGAUAAGACUCAGAAUUCCAUAAAGAUGAAGCAUUUAAAUCACUCUGCUUUGUAAAUUACAGCUGAUGGUUUAUCACUCUCAAUGAAGUAGGAAUCCUUAUAAGUGAAAUAGCCCAAAUUAUCAUAUUGCUGUAUUUAGUGGAGAAAUGAAUGCAAGCCCUCUGUCCUGAAGAAUAGCUAAUUUAAAUAUGUUAGAAUCUCAUACUCUGACUCUCCUCCCACUCUCAGUAAUUUUGCUCUGGCACAGCCAAUGGAUUUCCAAGAGAUCCCCACUAAUUUACACCAGCAUAAGGAUUAUCUGGUCCAGAGCAUUAGUGAAUGGGUAUUUAAAAACAGGAUACUAUAAAAUAAAAAGGUUGUGAUAAAGAUUGAGAUUCUAAGGUGCAUCUAUGAAAACAAAAGGAAUAUGAAAUUAGAAAUAUAUAUCAAAGCACAGUGGGAAAUUCAAAACAAUCAUAAUGAAGGCAGCAUAGGUGUGAAGUGUAACCAGUUUAUCCAACCUUAGAAAACCUUGCACAUGCCUGUGCAGGGUCAGUACAUUGCACAGUUACUGAAUCCAUUCAGAACUGACAAAGAUGUCAAAGCAGUGCAUUUUACUUUGCUGGUAAUAGUAAGUCUGAAUGGAAAGACUCUACAACCCCCAUUCAUACAAACCCCCAAGCUACAACUGAAAAAAACCCCACUAUUGAAAGACAAUGUGAUCCUUUAAGAAGUUCAGAAAUUACCCUGCUUUCCAAAAGUACAAAUAAAGUCUUUGGGGCCACCUAUCAUGGGUAUCCAUGACAGGUUUUACAUUAACCUUCUACUCAUACAUAAAAAUGGAUUAACAAAUCAGAAAGCUAAAUCACCUGAACAAUAAAUAAAGCAAAAUGUCAAACACUUGCUUUUGACUUUAUUUUAUAAUUACUUUUGUACAUUAGGAACAUUGCUUGUGACAUGGGAUGCAAGCCAAAAGAGGCAGACAGAAAAAUGGCACAGCAGGAACAAGGCUUAAAUACACAACACGCCCUUCCUCAGUGUCUUACAGACAGAAGUGCUCUGCACUGAGGAACCUCUCUCAUACUGGAAACUUGGGUGUGAUAUUCCUGCAUUCAGCUUUUCCUCUGAAUUUCAGAAUAAAUCACUGUGUUAAAAAAAUAUUUAGGAACAGUUUAGAAGUUCAAGGAACAUUUCCCAGGUUUGAAAGUGUGAAAGACGGUAUCAAGAAUCAUGGCAAUUUAGUGUUGCAGAGGCACCACCGACCAUUAAAAAU